UGGAUUCGGUGGAUCCCCCCCCCCCAACCCGCCCGGUGGGAUGUGGAGCGGCAGCGGGCGCCGCGCGCGGAGGUUUGCGCGGGCCGCUAGAGGGCGCUAGGGGUCUCGCGGCCGCGGCCAUGGUGGAGAAGGACGAGUCCAGCCCCGGCGGCAUCAGCGAGGAGGAGGCGGCUCAGUACGACCGCCAGAUCCGCCUCUGGGGGCUCGAGGCCCAGAAACGGCUGCGGGCGUCGCGGGUGCUGCUGGUGGGGCUGCGCGGGCUGGGCGCCGAGGUGGCCAAAAACCUCAUCCUGGCCGGGGUCAGGGGCCUCACCCUGCUGGACCACCAACAGGUGUGUGCCGAGGACAGCCGGGCGCAGUUCCUGAUCCCCGCGGGCUCCGUGGGCCGGAACCGCGCCGAGGCGUCGCUGGAGCGGGCGCAGAGCCUCAACCCCAUGGUGGAGGUGAAGGCCGACGCCGAGAGCGUGGACAGCAAACCCCACGAGUUCUUCACCCAGUUCGACGCGGUGUGCCUCACCUGCUGCUCCCGGGAGUCCAUGGUGAGGAUCAACCAGAUCUGCCACAAAAACGGCGUCAAGUUCUUCACCGGCGACGUCUUCGGCUACCACGGCUACAUGUUCGCUGACCUGGGCGAGCACGAGUUCGUGGAGGAGAAGCCCAAGGUGGCCAAGGUGAGCGCGGGGGUGGAGGACGGACCCGAGGCCAAACGGGCCCGGCUGGAGCCGGCCGAGACCACCAUGGUCAAAAAGAGGCUGCAGUUCUGCCCGCUGCGCGAGGCCCUGGCUGUGCAGUGGCGCGGGGAGGAGGCGGCGGCGGCGCUGAGGAAAACGGCCCCCGACUAUUUCCUGCUCCAAGUGUUGCUGAGGUUCCGUACCGAGGCCGGCCGUGACCCGUGUCCCCGCAGCGCCACCGAGGACUCGCAGCGGCUGCUGCGGCUGCGCCGGGAGGUGCUGGAGGCGCUGGGGGUGGGGACACAGCUGCUGCCGGACACCUUCCACAGCUUCUGCUUCUCGGAGAUGGCGCCGGUGUGCGCCGUGGUCGGGGGCGUGCUGGGCCAGGAGGUGGUCAAGGCUCUGUCCCAGCGGGACCCCCCCCACAACAAUUUCUUCUUCUUCGACGGCGUCAGGGGCCAGGGCAUGGUGGAGUGCCUGGGACCCCCGAAAUGAGGCACCCCCAAUUUGGGGAGGGGGUUUGGGGGGUCCUGAACCCCCCCAGGGGCACCCCAAAUCCUGGAAGGGGUUUGGAGUGCCUGGGACCCCCGAAAUGAGGCACCCCCAAUUUGGGGAGGGGGUUUGGAGUGCCUGGGACCCCCAAAAUGAGGCACCCCCAAUUUGGGGAGGGGGUUUG